rnacentral:rRNA from 1 species
GACGAACGCUGGCGGCGUGCUUAACACAUGCAAGUCGAGCGGUAAGGCUCCUUCGGGAGUACACGAGCGGCGAACGGGUGAGUAACACGUGAGUAAUCUGCCCUUCACUUCGGGAUAACCACCGGAAACGGUGGCUAAUACCGAAUACGACCAGUCUUCGCAUGAGGUGCUGGUGGAAAGUCUUUUCGGUGAAGGAUGUGCUCGCGGCCUAUCAGCUUGUUGGUGGGGUAAUGGCCUACCAAGGCUUCGACGGGUAGCCGGCCUGAGAGGGUGACCGGCCACACUGGGACUGCGACACGGCCCAGACUCCUACGGGAGGCAGCAGUGGGGAAUAUUGGACAAUGGGCGAAAGCCUGAUCCAGCAACGCCGCGUGAGGGAUGACGGCCUUCGGGUUGUAAACCUCUUUCAGUACCGACGAAGCGCCCUGUCGGGUGGUGACGGUAGGUACAGAAGAAGGACCGGCCAACUACGUG